rnacentral:rRNA from 1 species
CAAUAGCGUAUAUUAAAGUUGUUGCAGUUAAAAAGCUCGUAGUUGGAUUUGUGGCGUACGGUGUGUUCCGGGCACUUGUUGUCUGAGUAACCUGCUGUUGCCAUCCUUGGGUGGAACCUGUGUGGCAUUAGGUUGUCGUGCAGGGGAUGCCCAUCAUUUACUGUGAAAAAAUUAGAGUGCUCAAAGCAGGCUUAUGCCGUUGAAUAUAUUAGCAUGGAAUAAUGAGAUAGGACUUUUUUGCUAUUUUGUUGGUUUGCGCAAGAAGGUAAUGAUUAAUAGGGACAGUUGGGGGUAUUCGUAUUCCAUUGUCAGAGGUGAAAUUCUUGGAUUUUUGGAAGACGAACUACUGCGAAAGCAUUUACCAAGGAUGUUUUCAUUAA